rnacentral:hammerhead_ribozyme from 1 species
AUCCAGAUGGUGAGUCCGAAAUAGGACGAAAUGCGUAUUGUCCUGGAU